UACGUAGGGACCAAGCGUUGUUCGGAUUUACUGGGCGUAAAGGGCGCGUAGGCGGCGUGGUAAGUCACUUGUGAAAUCUCUGGGCUUAACCCAGAACGGUCAGCCGAUACUGCGGGGCUAGAGUGCAGAAGGGGCAACUGGAAUUCUCGGUGUAGCGGUGAAAUGCGUAGAUAUCGAGAGGAACACCUGCGGCGAAGGCGGGUUGCUGGGCUGACACUGACGCUCAGGCACGAAAGCGUGGGGAGCAAACAGG
rnacentral:rRNA from 1 species